CCCUCGGAGCCGGCCGUAGUAGAGCCGAACCACCAUCCCAGCCGCGCCGCGUCUGCAAGCCGAAUCCGGAGCCGCUCCUCAUCCGCGCAGCCGAGCGCCGUAUCCGCAGCCAGCCACGCCGCGCCGCGUAGAUCCGACGCAGCGCAGCCGGGACUCGUCGAGACAGCCGAAGCCAGCCAGCCGCGCCGCUCCGAUCGAAGCCGAAGGGAGCCGCUUCGAUCCGCGCACAGCCGUCUCCCGCAGCCGCCACUCGAAGCCGAUCCGCCGCGCGUGCCUCCAGCCGUCGAAGCCGAACCCACGUUUCGGCCGACGCCCGAACCCGAAACCGAUCCGCGCCCGCUCGCCCGAAACCGACCCGCGCCCGCUCGCCCGAAACCGAACCCGCUCCACGCUCGCGCACGCCCGCUCCGAGUCGCAAGCCGAGCCCGCGCGCGCCCAUCCCACGCCACGAGCCGCGCCGGUCUGCACCACAAGCCGCGCCGCGCCGCCUGCACUGCAAGCCGAGCCGCGCCUCCUUGCUGACGCGAGCCGAGCCGCACGCGCAAGAUCCUUGCGCCAAGCCGAGCCGAGCCGAUCUCUGUCUCCUUCCAGCCGAGCCGCCAAGCCUAAUUUGGCUCCUUCCACCUAAUUUUUGGGACGUCUUGGACCAAGUAACUGCUGCAGCGGGGGAUUUCUUCAGUAGGGGCUUGAGCACUGCAAUCUCCUUCUAGGUUAGGACCUCGUCGCUUGGAAAGCGUACUGCCUCGCGGUUAGGACUCGUCAAGUAAAUCUCCAGGUAAGAGAUUCUACUACUAGCUCCACGCUUAGAAAUAUGAGAUGAUGUA